rnacentral:rRNA from 1 species
ACACAUGCAAGUCGAACGAAGCUUGACGGAUGAUUUCUUCGGAAUGAAACCUGAUAUGACUUAGUGGCGGACGGGUGAGUAACACGUGAGCAACCUGCCUUUCAGAGGGGGAUAACGGCUGGAAACGGUCGCUAAUACCGCAUGACGUGUUCGGAUGGCAUCAUCUGAACAUCAAAGAUUUAUCGCUGAAAGAUGGGCUCGCGUCUGAUUAGAUAGUUGGUGGGGUAACGGCCUACCAAGUCGACGAUCAGUAGCCGGACUGAGAGGUUGAACGGCCACAUUGGGACUGAGAUACGGCCCAGACUCCUACGGGAGGCAGCAGUGGGGAAUAUUGCACAAUGGGGGAAACCCUGAUGCAGCAACGCCGCGUGAAGGAUGACGGUUUUCGGAUUGUAAACUUCUUUUCUUAGUGACGAAGACAGUGACGGUAGCUAAGGAAUAAGCAUCGGCUAACUACGUGCCAGCAGCCGCGGUAAUACGUAGGAUGCAAGCGUUAUCCGGAUUUACUGGGUGUAAAGGGAGCGCAGGCGGGACUGCAAGUUGGAUGUGAAAUACCGUGGCUUAACCACGGAACUGCAUCCAAAACUGUAGUUCUUGAGUGAAGUAGAGGCAAGCGGAAUUCCGAGUGUAGCGGUGAAAUGCGUAGAUAUUCGGAGGAACACCAGUGGCGAAGGCGGCUUGCUGGGCCUUAACUGACGCUGAGGCUCGAAAGUGUGGGGAGCAAACAUGAUUAGAUACCCUGGUAGUCCACACUGUAAACGAUGAUAGCUAGGUGUGGGGGGUCUGACCCCUUCCGUGCCGGAGUUAACGCAAUAAGCUAUCCACCUGGG